rnacentral:rRNA from 1 species
CCUACGGGUGGCUGCAGUGGGGAAUAUUGGACAAUGGGCGAAAGCCUGAUCCAGCCAUGCCGCGUGUGUGAAGAAGGCCUUCGGGUUGUAAAGCACUUUCAGUGGGGAAGAAAGCCUUGGGGCUAAUACCCUCGAGGAAGGACAUCACCCACAGAAGAAGCACCGGCUAACUCCGUGCCAGCAGCCGCGGUAAUACGGAGGGUGCGAGCGUUAAUCGGAAUUACUGGGCGUAAAGCGCGCGUAGGCGGUCUGAUAAGCCGGUUGUGAAAGCCCCGGGCGCAACCUGGGAACGGCAUCCGGAACUGUCAGGCUAGAGUGCAGGAGAGGAAGGUAGAAUUCCCGGUGUAGCGGUGAAAUGCGUAGAGAUCGGGAGGAAUACCAGUGGCGAAGGCGGCCUUCUGGACUGACACUGACGCUGAGGUGCGAAAGCGUGGGUAGCAAACAGGAUUAGAUACCCCAGUAGUC